rnacentral:lncRNA from 1 species
AUCUCCGACAGGACGUGAUGCGGGCUCCUGCUUCUCCCUUCUCAGCUCAUCAGAGCACGUGCGAGCGCCGCAGCUGAGAUAAUUGAAUAUCUUCUUUAAACCAACAGGCUGGAAGGAGGUGGUCGGGCCUCCCCUGGGCCGAGCAGGGGUUCCACGAGGCCAGCCCCCCCCCCCCGGGCCUCCACCAAGGAAGGGCAGCGUCUGUGUCCCUGGAAGUCUCGGCUCACCCAAACGUCACCAGGAGAGUCCGGACACAUUGCCUGACCGUGACCUCGCACCCACCUUCCGGCCUCCGGCUUUGCCGUCCACACCCGUCCCUUCCCGUCUCGCAAGCCCAGGUGCCCGCAUGUGGGCCACACCGCCUCCUCUGAAAUGCCCAGCCGUGGUGGAUGAUCGCCUCUGAAUAAUUUAACAGGUAUUGGCUUAUUGAGCAAGACGGACUCUUGACGUCAGGGGUGGAAUGUUCUCGGGGGAGAGCCCUCCAUUUCCAGGCCAAGUGUUGUAAGAGUUCAACACGCGUGUGUUCAGUCUCACUCUCUGUGGCGGCUGGGGGGGGGGCCCACAGGACACCCCCCUCAGGAGGAGGUGUGGGCGUGUCCAGCUUCGGGGGCGGUGCCGUGGGACGGCCCAAAGAGCACUGGACGGGGAGUCCUGAGAGCUGAAUAAGAAAGUGUAAUAAUAUUAAUGGAUUGCCUGUCUGUGAUCAAGUGCUCACUGUGGGUCAGCACCAUGGAAGCAUCUAGUCCACCUAAGCCUUUGAAGAAGAAAUUCUCUGCCGUCCCCAUUUUGCAUAAGGGGCAGUGAGGCUUGCUUAGGAUUUUAGGGCAAGAGUGACU